AAAACGACUCUCGGCAAUGGAUAUCUCGGCUCUCGCAUCGAUGAAGAACGUAGCAAACUGCGAUACUUGGUGUGAAUUGCAGAAUCCCGUGAAUCAUCGAGUCUUUGAACGCAAGUUGCGCCCAAAGCCGUCAGGCCGAGGGCACGCCUGCCUGGGCAUCACGA
rnacentral:rRNA from 1 species